UACAGAGGGUGCAGGCGUUAAUCGGAAUUACUGGGCGUAAAGCGUGCGCAGGCGGCUUCCCAAGUCAGAUGUGAAAGCCCCGGGCUCAACCUGAGAACUGCGUUUGAAACUGGGAGGCUAGAGUGCGGCAGAGGGGGGUGGAAUUCCACGUGUAGCAGUGAAAUGCGUAGAUAUGAGGAGGAACACCGAUGGCGAAGGCAGCCCCCUGGGCCUGCACUGACGCUCAUGCACGAAAGCGUGGGGAGCAAACAGG
rnacentral:rRNA from 1 species